CCUACGGGCGGCAGCAGUGAGGAAUAUUGGUCAAUGGACGAGAGCCUGAACCAGCCAAGUAGCGUGAAGGAUGACUGCCCUAUGGGUUGUAAACUUCUUUUAUAUGGGAAUAAAAUGCUCCACGUGUGGGAUUUUGUAUGUACCAUAUGAAUAAGGAUCGGCUAAUUCCGUGCCAGCAGCCGCGGUAAUACGGAGGACCCGAGCGUUAUCCGGAUUUAUUGGGGUUAAAGGGAGCGUAGGUGGAUUGUUAAGUCAGGUGUGAAAGUUUGGGGCUCAACCGGAAAAUUGCAGUUGAAACUGGCAGUCGUGAGUACAGAAGAGGUAGGCGGAAUUCGUGGUGUAGCGGUGAAAUG
rnacentral:rRNA from 1 species